AGCAUUCCGUAAGGGCGUCGCGGCCAUCAUUUUUUCGCUCUCUAAUUCUCUUAUUGAGCAAACUCUGCUUGAGCAGAGCUCAUUAGAAGCGGACUGCUUGGUGGAGACGAACGUAGCGGACGAAUAAUUUAUACUAUAAGCUUAACGAAACACAAAAGGAUUACAACACAAACACAGAAGGAUUAAAAUUAACUCCGUUAUUUUUGGCGCAGUGCAUUUAGAAGCAUUCCGUAAGGGCGUCGCGGCCAUCAUUUUUUCGCUCUCUAAUUCUCUUAUUGAGCAAACUCUGCUUGAGCAGAGCUCAUUAGAAGCGGACUGCUUGGUGGAGACGAACGUAGCGGACGAAUAAUUUAUACUAUAAGCUUAACGAAACACAAAAGGAUUACAACACAAACACAGAAGGAUUAAAAUUAACUCCGUUAUUUUUGGCGCAGUGCAUUUAGAAGCAUUCCGUAAGGGCGUCGCGGCCAUCAUUUUUUCGCUCUCUAAUUCUCUUAUUGAGCAAACUCUGCUUGAGCAGAGCUCAUUAGAAGCGGACUGCUUGAUGGAGACGAACGUAGCGGACGAAUAAUUUAUACUAUAAGCUUAACGAAACACAAAAGGAUUACAACACAAACACAGAAGGAUUAAAAUUAACUCCGUUAUUUUUGGCGCAGUGCAUUUAGAAGCAUUCCGUAAGGGCGUCGCGGCCAUCAUUUUUUCGCUCUCUAAUUCUCUUAUUGAGCAAACUCUGCUUGAGCAGAGCUCAUUAGAAGCGGACUGCUUGAUGGAGACGAACGUAGCGGACGAAUAAUUUAUACUAUAAGCUUAACGAAACACAAAAGGAUUACAACACAAACACAGAAGGAUUAAAAUUAACUCCGUUAUUUUUGGCGCAGUGCAUUUAGAAGCAUUCCGUAAGGGCGUCGCGGCCAUCAUUUUUUCGCUCUCUAAUUCUCUUAUUGAGCAAACUCUGCUUGAGCAGAGCUCAUUAGAAGCGGACUGCUUGAUGGAGACGAACGUAGCGGACGAAUAAUUUAUACUAUAAGCUUAACGAAACACAAAAGGAUUACAACACAAACACAGAAGGAUUAAAAUUAACUCCGUUAUUUUUGGCGCAGUGCAUUUAGAAGCAUUCCGUAAGGGCGUCGCGGCCAUCAUUUUUUCGCUCUCUAAUUCUCUUAUUGAGCAAACUCUGCUUGAGCAGAGCUCAUUAGAAGCGGACUGCUUGAUGGAGACGAACGUAGCGGACGAAUAAUUUAUACUAUAAGCUUAACGAAACACAAAAGGAUUACAACACAAACACAGAAGGAUUAAAAUUAACUCCGUUAUUUUUGGCGCAGUGCAUUUAGAAGCAUUCCGUAAGGGCGUCGCGGCCAUCAUUUUUUCGCUCUCUAAUUCUCUUAUUGAGCAAACUCUGCUUGAGCAGAGCUCAUUAGAAGCGGACUGCUUGAUGGAGACGAACGUAGCGGACGAAUAAUUUAUACUAUAAGCUUAACGAAACACAAAAGGAUUACAACACAAACACAGAAGGAUUAAAAUUAACUCCGGUGAGUGCACAGC